CCUACGGGAGGCGGCAGUGGGGAAUCUUGCGCAAUGGGCGAAAGCCUGACGCAGCCAUGCCGCGUGAAUGAUGAAGGUCUUAGGAUUGUAAAAUUCUUUCAGUAGGGACGAUAAUGACGGUACCUACAGAAGAAGCCCCGGCUAACUUCGUGCCAGCAGCCGCGGUAAUACGAAGGGGGCUAGCGUUGCUCGGAAUUACUGGGCGUAAAGGGAGCGUAGGCGGGUUAUCAAGUUGGAGGUGAAAGCCCAGGGCUCGAACCUUGGAACUAGCCUUCAAAACUGAUAACCUAGAGGAUGGAAGAGGUAAGUGGAACUCCGAGUGUAGAGGUGAAAUUCGUAAGAUAUUCGGAAGAACACCAGUGGCGAAGGCGACUUACUGGUCCAUUACUGACGCUGAGGCUCGAAAGCGUGGGGAGCAAACAGGAUUAGAUACCCUGGUAGUCCACGCUGUAAACGAUGAUUGCUAGUUGUCGGCAGCAUGCUGUCGGUGACGCAGCUACGCAUAAGUACAACUACCGCCGUCGGGUAGGUACGGUCGCGAAGAAGUUAAAACUAACGAAAGGAAAGUUAAGUACGGCGUUGAGAGUUGCCGAACGGACGACGACGAGGGAGGAGG
rnacentral:rRNA from 1 species